GACGAACGCUGGCGGCGUGCUUAACACAUGCAAGUCGAACGGAAAGGCCCUUCGGGGUACUCGAGUGGCGAACGGGUGAGUAACACGUGGGUGAUCUGCCCUGCACUUUGGGAUAAGCCUGGGAAACUGGGUCUAAUACCGAAUAGGACCACGCGCUUCAUGGUGUGUGGUGGAAAGCUUUUGCGGUGUGGGAUGGGCCCGCGGCCUAUCAGCUUGUUGGUGGGGUAAUGGCCUACCAAGGCGACGACGGGUAGCCGGCCUGAGAGGGUGACCGGCCACACUGGGACUGAGAUACGGCCCAGACUCCUACGGGAGGCAGCAGUGGGGAAUAUUGCACAAUGGGCGCAAGCCUGAUGCAGCGACGCCGCGUGAGUGAUGACGGCCUUCGGGUUGUAAACCUCUUUCAAUAGGGACGAAGCGCAAGUGACGGUACCUAUAGAAGAAGCACCGGCCAACUACGUG
rnacentral:rRNA from 1 species